rnacentral:rRNA from 1 species
GACGAACGCUGGCGGCGUGCUUAACACAUGCAAGUCGAACGGUGAAAGCGGAGCUUGCUCCGCUGGAUCAGUGGCGAACGGGUGAGUAACACGUGGGCAACCUGCCCCUCACUUCGGAAUAACUCCGGGAAACCGGGGCUAAUACCGGAUAUGACCUCCUUGGGCAUCCUUGGAGGUGGAAAGUUUUUCGGUGAGGGAUGGGCCCGCGGCCUAUCAGCUUGUUGGUGAGGUAGUGGCUCACCAAGGCGACGACGGGUAGCCGGCCUGAGAGGGCGACCGGCCACACUGGGACUGAGACACGGCCCAGACUCCUACGGGAGGCAGCAGUGGGGAAUAUUGCACAAUGGGCGAAAGCCUGACGCAGCAACGCCGCGUGCGGGAUGACGGCCUUCGGGUUGUAAACCGCUUUCAGCAGGGAAGAAGCCGCAAGGUGACGGUACCUGCAGAAGAAGCACCGGCUAACUACGUGCCAGCCGCCGCCGUAA